GGACAGGUAGAACAGGUCAUGAGGGUGCUGUACAGUCUUCAUUCAAGAGUAGUCAUUCUAAUUCAAAUUCUGCAAGAGGUUUUCCAGCUGUAGGUGUGAGGCAGGAACAUUCAUAAUUGAAGAAGAGCUGAUCAUCGCUGUACUACACUUACACUUUAUGACAAUGACUGCCCUAUUCCAAGUUGAAAGGUCCCAAAGCCACUUUGCCAACUGCUGAAAGAUGGUUUUGGAAGCCCAUUGGAACAUGCAUAACCUUGGCGACUUGGGGAAACCAGCUGUGGAGUUAGGACCAUCUUGAACGGAACUUGAGACUUCCUGGCCAGAAAAACUACAGGUGACUAAUCCGCUGAACAUCCAAAUCCGAACGGAAUGUUGCAAUAAUCCUGAUCUUUGACUCCAGAUAUUGAACACACAUAAACUAUCACUUUGGAUGAAGAUACUGCCCUCAACAGAACUUACAACAGUUGUUUUCACUUCAAUGAAAGAAACACAUGAACUACGAACUUUUGUCUAAAGCUUGUAAAAGUACAUUAUUCUCUUGAACUGUGUGCAUAU